rnacentral:rRNA from 1 species
UACGUAGGGGGCAAGCGUUGUCCGGAUUUAUUGGGCGUAAAGAGCGUGUAGGCGGCCUUACAGGUCAGCUGUGAAAACUCGAGGCUCAACCUCGAGACGUCGGUUGAAACCGUAAGGCUAGAGUCCGGAAGAGGAGAGUGGAAUUCCCGGUGUAGCGGUGAAAUGCGCAGAUAUCGGGAAGAACACCCGUGGCGAAGGCGGUUCUCUGGGCAUGUCCU